UAGGGAAUCUUGCGCAAUGGGCGAAAGCCUGACGCAGCAACGCCGCGUGCGGGAUGAAGGCCUUCGGGUUGUAAACCGCUUUCAGUGGGGACGAAAACAGACGGUACCCACAGAAGAAGCCCCGGCCAACUACGUGCCAGCAGCCGCGGUAACACGUAGGGGGCAAGCGUUGUCCGGAUUUAUUGGGCGUAAAGAGCUCGUAGGCGGCUCAGUAAGUCAGGUGUGAAAACUCCAGGCUCAACCUGGAGACGCCACCUGAUACUGCUGUGGCUAGAGUCCGGUAGGGGAGCAUGGAAUUCCUGGUGUAGCGGUGAAAUGCGCAGAUAUCAGGAGGAACACCAGUGGCGAAGGCGGUGCUCUGGGCCGGUACUGACGCUGAGGAGCGAAAGCGUGGGGAGCAAACAGGAUUAGAUACCCCCGUAGUCCCUGAGCGGGCUGGCAAGGCGCAU
rnacentral:rRNA from 1 species